CCUACGGGAGGCAGCAGUGGGGAAUAUUGGACAAUGGGCGAAAGCCUGAUCCAGCCAUGCCGCGUGUGUGAAGAAGGCCUUCGGGUUGUAAAGCACUUUCAGUGGGGAAGAAAGCCUUGGGGCUAAUACCCUCGAGGAAGGACAUCACCCACAGAAGAAGCACCGGCUAACUCCGUGCCAGCAGCCGCGGUAAUACGGAGGGUGCGAGCGUUAAUCGGAAUUACUGGGCGUAAAGCGCGCGUAGGCGGUCUGAUAAGCCGGUUGUGAAAGCCCCGGGCUCAACCUGGGAACUGCAUCCGGAACUGUCAGGCUAGAGUGCAGGAGAGGAAGGUAGAAUUCCCGGUGUAGCGGUGAAAUGCGUAGAGAUCGGGAGGAAUACCAGUGGCGAAGGCGGCCUUCUGGACUGACACUGACGCUGAGGUGCGAAAGCGUGGGUAGCAAACAGGAUUAGAUACCCCAGUAGUC
rnacentral:rRNA from 1 species